rnacentral:rRNA from 1 species
GUGAAAUUCUUAGACCGAUGCAAGACUAACUGAAGCGAAAGCGUUUGCCGAGGAUAUUUUCAUUAAUCAAGAACGAAAGUUAGAGGUUCGAAGGCGAUCAGAUACCGCCCUAGUUCUAACCAUAAACGUUGCCAACUAGCAAUUGGGUUGCGAUUCCUUUAGUUUUCUUUGUAUAGUGAUAUGCGAGAAAACCAUUAUGAUCCACCCAGCGGCUCUCGUAGGGAAACCAAAGUGUUUGGGUUCCGGGGGAAGUAUGAUUGCAAAGUUGAAACUUAAAGGAAUUGACGGAAGGGCACCACCAGGAGUGGAGCCUGCGGCUUAAUUUGACUCAACACGGGGAAACUUACUAGAUUAGAACUCUGGAAUGAUUGACAGAUUGAUAGCUCUUUCUUGAUUCAGAGGAUGGUGGUGCAUGGCCGUUCUUGAUUCGUAUUCCGAAACGUCUGCUUAAUUGCGAUAACGAGUGAGACCUCCCCCAACUAACUAGUGGUUCGGUGCGCUGUGGGGCAUUAACGGGAUUUACCUCUUGGAGAUCUUCGGGUCGAAGAGAGAAUAAGUCCUGCCCUCUGCUCGCCGGCCGACUUCUUAGAGGGAUAAACGGGGUUUUACCCGUAAAAAACAAGGCAAUAACAGGUCUGUGAUGCCCUUAGAUACUCUAGGCCGCACGCGUGCUACAAUGGCGUGUGCAGAAAGCUUGUUCGAGGUUCGUCCGGGGAGCAACUAGUGGGUUGGUUCGAGAGGGGUAACUUUCGAGAAUCGCCCGCCAAGUGACCUCGGCCGCGAGCCGAGAGAAACCGCUGCCGAGAGGUAGCGGCAAUCAGAAAUACACGCCGUGAUUUGGGAUUGGGGAUUGCAAUUGUUGCCCAUGAACGAGGAAUUCCCAGUAAGCGCGAUUCAUCAUAUCGCGUUGAUUACGUCCCUGCCCUUUGUACACACCGCCCGUCGCUACUACCGAUUGGAAGUUUUAGUGAGGCAUUUGGACCUGCCGCUUAGGAGCGUCAAAACUCCGUAGCGGCGGGGAAGUCUGUCGAACUCAAAUUUCUAGAGGAAGUAAAAGUCGUAACAAGGUUUCCG